rnacentral:tRNA from 1 species
GCCUGGAUCGCUCAGUUGGUAGAGCAUCAAACUUUUAAUCUGAGGGUCCAGACU